CCUACGGGAGGCACCAGUGAGGAAUUUUGCGCAAUGGGGGCAACCCUGACGCAGCAACGCCGCGUGAGUGAAGAAGGCCUUUGGGUCGUAAAGCUCUGUCAACAAGGAAGAAAUUACAAUUAUUUAAUAGAUAAUUGUAUUGACGGUACUUGUGGAGGAAGCGCCGGCUAACUCCGUGCCAGCAGCCGCGGUAACACGGGGGGCGCAAGCGUUAUUCGGAAUUAUUGGGCGUAAAGGGCGCGCAGGCGGUCUUGUCCGUCAGGUGUGAAAGCUCGGGGCUCAACCCCGGAAGUGCACUUGAAACAGCAAGACUUGAAUACGGGAGAGGAGAGAGGAAUUCCUGGUGUAGAGGUGAAAUUCGUAGAUAUCAGGAGGAACACCGAUGGCGAAGGCAUCUCUCUGGACCGAUAUUGACGCUGAGGCGCGAAAGCGUGGGGAGCAAACAGGAUUAGAUACCCCCGUAGUC
rnacentral:rRNA from 1 species